CCCUAAAAUUUUUAGUUUUACUGUUCCCUUAAAUCCCUCUGCAGCAAUGCUUCUUUCUCUCUGCUUUCUGCCUCUCUCAUCUCAAGCAAGCUUGCCUUUCUCCACCUCUCUGAUUCCUAAUCCUUCUCAUCUCAAGCAAGCUUGCCUCUAUGCCUCUGCUCUAGCCUCUAGGUUUUGAGUUCUCUCAUCUCUGGUCUGCUAUCAGAUUUUUAGAGAAAUACAUGAUUGAAGGCAUGGGGAGAUUGUUUGUGAUGGGUCUUGAAGGGAAGAUCUAAAGUUGGAGGCAGUCAGGUAGAGGCAGUAGACAUUGCCACAUGGGUGACUCAUCUUUGCACUUUGUGAAGACAAAGUUCUAAUAUGGUUGACUUCGCAUUUGACAUUGAAAUUCAUGUUGGGGGAUGUUUUGUGGAGGAGCCAACCAUUCAACAUGUGGGUGGGUCUAUACGUUUACUGACAGAGAUUGACCCUGACAUGGUUCUCUUCCUCACAGCCUGAGUUUCACACACCUAGGGAGACCUGAGAUUCCUUACCAAUUUCUUCACAGCCUUCAUAUGCAAAUAGGAGCACUGGUGGUAUGAGGACUAGAGGACAACUUGUUGCAUAAAGGCCACCAAAAAUGAAUUCAGUGGGUGGAAAGAGGAAAGAGUAAAGGCAAGAAAUGAAUGAAGCUAGU